UAGAAAAUAGUUUAACCAGUAAAACUAAGAAAUUUGAAUUCUUUAAUACAAGUGCAACCCUUGUUUUUCUAA
rnacentral:tRNA from 12 species